UGCGUAGGCGGUUAGGUAAGUCAGAUGUGAAAUUCCCAGGGCUCAACCUUGGAACUGCAUUUGAUACUGCUUGACUAGAGUACUGGAGGGGAGACUGGAAUUCACGGUGUAGCAGUGAAAUGCGUAGAUAUCGUGAGGAAGGCCAGCGGCGAAGGCGAGUCUCUGGACAGUUACUGACGCUGAGGCACGAAGGCUAGGGGAGCAAACG
rnacentral:rRNA from 1 species